rnacentral:rRNA from 1 species
AUGAGCCAUACAAUGAAGCUAUGGGAGAGAGUCAUUGAGCACCGCUUAAGAAGAAUGACAAGCGUGACCAAAAAUCAGUUUGGUUUCAUGCCUGGGAGGUCAACCAUGGAAGCGAUUUUCUUGGUACGACAACUUAUGGAGAGAUAUAGGGAGCAUAAGAAGGACUUGCAUAUGGUGUUCAUUGACUUGGAGAAGGCCUAUGAUAAGAUACCGCGGAAUGUCAUGUGGUGGGCCUUGGAGAAACACAAAGUCCUAGCAAAGUACAUUACCCUCAUCAAGGACAUGUACAAUAAUGUUGUGACAAGUGUUCGAACAAGUGAUGUCGACACCGAUGACUUCCCGAUUAAGAUAGGACUGCAUCAGGGGUCAGCUUUGAGCCCUUAUCUUUUUGCAUUGGUGAUGGAUGAGGUCACAAGGGGUAUACAAGGAGAUAUCCCAUGGUGUAUGCUCUUUGCGGAUGAUGUGGUGCUAGUUGAUGAUAGUCGGACGGGGGUAAAUAGGAAGUUAGAGUUAUGGAGACAAACCUUGGAAUCGAAAGGGUUUAGGCUUAGUAGAACUAAAACCGAGUACAUGAUGUGCGGUUUCAGUACUACUAGCUGUGAGGAGGAGGAGGUUAGCCUUGAUGGCCAGGUGGUACCUCAGAAGGACACCUUUCGGUAUUUGGGGUCAAUGUUGCAGGAGGAUGGGGGUAUUGAUGAAGAUGUGAACCAUCGAAUCAAAGCCGGAUGGAUGAAGUGGCGCCAAGCUUCUGGCAUUCUCUAUGACAAGAGAGUGCCACAAAAGCUAAAAGUUAGGUGUGGCGGAGAUGCGUAUGUUGAGAUGGAUGUGUGGCCACACGAGGAAGGAUCGAGUCCGGAAUGA